rnacentral:rRNA from 1 species
AUUGAACGCUGGCGGCAGGCCUAACACAUGCAAGUCGAGCGGAUGAAGGGAGCUUGCUCCUGGAUUCAGCGGCGGACGGGUGAGUAAUGCCUAGGAAUCUGCCUGGUAGUGGGGGAUAACGUCCGGAAACGGGCGCUAAUACCGCAUACGUCCUGAGGGAGAAAGUGGGGGAUCGUCGGACCUCACGCUAUCAGAUGAGCCUAGGUCGGAUUAGCUAGUUGGUGGGGUAAAGGCCUACCAAGGCGACGAUCCGUAACUGGUCUGAGAGGAUGAUCAGUCACACUGGAACUGGGACACGGUCCAGACUCCUACGGGAGGCAGCAGUGGGGAAUAUUGGACAAUGGGCGAAAGCCUGAUCCAGCCAUGCCGAGUGUGUGAAGAAGGUCUUCGGAUUGUAAAGAACUUUAAGUUGGGAGGAAGGGCAGUAAGUUAAUACCUUGCUGUUUUGACGUUACCAACAGAAUAAGCACCGGCUAACUUCGUG